rnacentral:rRNA from 1 species
AUUUAAAAUUGAUUUGAUUUUUUUAGUAAAAUUUUAAAUUUAAAUAAAGAUAUAGAAGUUAUAGGUUUUUAGUAUUAAUAGGAAAAAAAUAUUAUAGAUAUUAAAUUGUAAAAGUAAUUUAAAAUUUAUAAAAGAAAGUUUUAUUUAUUGUACCUUUUGUAUCAGGGAUUAUUAAAAUUAAAUAUUAAGAUUAAUAUAUCUCGAAUUAAAAGGAGCUAAUUUAAUAUUAUAGUUAAUGUAGAAUAAUUAUUAUAAAUUUUAAAUUUGAAGUGAAAUGUUAAACGAUUUUUAAGAUAUCUAGUUUUUUAAUAAAAAAAUUUAAUUUUUUUAUAAGUUUAAUUAAAAAUAAUUAAAAAUUUUUAAUUGUUUUAUAAAAAAGAGUUUAUGGGAUUAGCUAUAAAUUUAAAUUAAAUGAUAAUUUUAAAGUUUAAAAUUUAGAAAUUAAAAUUUUUAAAAUUUUAAAGUUUUUAAUAAUUUAUUAGUUUAGGAGGUUAAAUUUUUAAAUUUAUUAAUUUAUUAUUAAAAUAAGUUUAUAAAUUUUUUAUAAAUUAAAAUAAUGAUAAUAUUAGUAUAAAUAAGUUGUUGAAUUAAUUAUUUUAUUAAAUUAAUUUAAGGAAUUAAGCAAAUUUUAAAAUUCACUUGUUUAUCAAAAACAUGUUUUUUUGAAAUUAAUAAAAAAUUUUCUCUGCCCAAUGAAAAAUUAAAUGGCCGCAGUAUUUUGACUGUGCAAAGGUAGCAUAAUAAAUAGUUUUUUAAUUGAAGACUAGAAUGAAUGAGAGGAUGAAAUUUUAACUGUCUCAAUUUAAUUAUAAAAUUUUAUUUUAAGUUAAAAUUCUUAAAUGAAUUUAAGGGACGAGAAGACCCUAUAGAAUUUAAAAAUUAAGAAUAAUUUUAAAGUUAAUAUUAUAUUAAAAUUAUUUUAAUAUUUUUUUAUUGGGAUGAUAUUUAAAUUUGAUUAACUUUAAAUUAUAAAAUUCAAUUAUUAAUGAAUUUUUGAAUAAAUUUAAUAAAUAAAAGAUAAAAUUACCUUAGGGAUAACAGCGUAAUAAAUUUUUAAAGUUCAAAUUAAAAAAUUUGAUUGCGACCUCGAUGUUGAAUUAAAAUAAAAUUUAAGUGAAGAAGCUUAAAAUUUAAGUCUGUUCGACUUUUAAAAUUUUACAUGAUUUG